ACCAUGUACGGUUCUUUUCAAUGGAUUCAAUCUCCCUAUCCAUAGCUUCUACCCAAGCCGGAUUGUCUUUUGCCUCCUUGAAACUCGUUGGCUCCUCCAUCUCGGCCAAAAAUGCAUCUUCAUAAGCGAGUUCAAUAGGUUGAGUCUCGUUGUAGAUCUCUGUCAAACUCCUAUACUUCAAAGGUUCUCCGCUUGUGUCGACAUCAGAUGAUGAAGGCUGAACACCAAUAGGAGUAGUUGGUGAAGGCUGCGUCAAUUGGCUCCUCCAUCUCAGCCAAAAAUGCAUCUUCAUAAGCGAGUUCAAUAGGUUGAGUCUCGUUGUAGAUCUCUGUCAAACUCUAUACUUCAAAGGUUCUCCGCUUGUGUCGACAUCAGAUGAUGAAGGCUAAACACCAAUAGGAGUAGUUGGUGAAGGCUGCAUCACUUCAUCAGAUUCUGUCAAUGUCGGCUGCAGUGUCAUGACGGGCUGUGGUGUUAUAACAGACUGCUCAACACCUGCUGUCGGAUUGCCUCCCAAUGGAUAUGCUUGCCAUGUUGGACUGAUUUCCUCAUCAACAAUGAGCUCCAAAGCUUCUCCAUUACUCGCAUCCCACUGCCACGGAACACUCUCAAAGAACACAACAUCACGGCUGACAUGAAGUUUUCCUCGUUGUGGAUCAAACAAGCGAUGUGCUUUACAUCCCUCCUCAACACCGAAAUAAACCAUAGCCUGGCUUCGGUCAUCAAGCUUCUUCAAGUGUGGCUUUGUCACCUUGACAUGAGCAGUACAUCCGAAAACACGAAGAUGUCCAAGAUGUGGUUUUCUACCCAUCCAAACUUCAUACGGUGUACGUGUUCCCAUUGACUUUGUCGGCAAUCUAUUCAGUAGAUACACUGAAUGCCUCACUGCCUCCCCCCAAAAUCUUCCCGGAACACUCAUGCUCUUCAAAAGGGAUCGUGUCAUUGACAUCACAGUCCUGUUCCUCCGCUUCACCACUCCAUUUUGCUGCGGCAAAUAUGGAGAUGUCAAGUGUCGAAUAAUACCUGCUUCUUCACAAACACGGCUAAGGGCCUUGGAGAGAAACUCCCCACCACGAUCAGUUCUGAGCUUUUUGAUCCGCUCCCCACACAUGUUCU
rnacentral:lncRNA from 1 species